AUGCGCUAAAAAUCUAAACUCGUUUUUUAAACUCAUAUUAUAAUACGAUUGUUUAUAAUUUUAUUACAUACAUUUUUUUUAUUUGCUAUAGAAAGCAGUUACCUUGCUUACUAAAGUAACAAUGGUUGUUGGUUGCAUAACAUACGUUUUCGCUUUUGCAUUAAUCAUGCUAAAUUAUCUGAAUAAAGUAAGAAACAAUAAACUCUCUGGAUAUAUGCUCCUAACUACAGCUAUAUGCUUGACUACAGGAAUAAUUGUGUUAACCAGAGAUAUUUUUCGGAACGAACCUCCUGGAUUCGCUGGUUACAGUGCGUCUUACUUUGAAGGUGGAAUUGCUGGAGGUAUAUCAAUCACAUCUGCAAUUCUUCAGUUCUUUAGAACAAAGUCGGAAUAUGAGCCCUUUUAGAAAAUAAAAAAAAAGCUUGUGAAAAAGUUUUAUAAAUAAAAAAUCUCAAAAUUAUCUAACAA